CAUUAUUUCGGGCUUGCUGUUUAAGCUCGUCUCAUAAAGCUAACGGGUUUAUGGAGUUAUUAAAGUGUGCAGACAUGAAUCGUGAUAUUUUGGUGUUACUUUCAGCAAUAAACAUUUGGAUUUAUUUCGGUUUAUUAUGGGCUUAUUCUUGUUCGCUGAUUUUUCUAGCAAGAUCUGGCAACUCGAAUGAGUCAGGGCUAGUGAUUUCUCUGUGAUUCACCGCGCAUACAGAAGAGAGACACAUAGUUGUUAAGUUCGGUUCCGUACACACUGCGUGGAAUUUCUGUAAAUGCGGUUGUCACUCCCGUAUUUUUCGGGAGUUAAUUCGGUUGUAGAAUGCGGUUGUCACUCCCGUAUUUUACUGAACUGUUUGUGUACAGCACGCGAUUAAGCACUAAAAGGUGAACUGACAACCGAAUUUAGCUGCAGUGUGUACGUGAAGUAUAUAAAUCGAGAUCUCGACCGAUUUCGUGACUGAAUGAUUCAAUUGUGAAUUCGGCUGAUCUAGCAGAUUAAACUUGCAGUAGCAAACAACUCAUUCAGUGAUACGGACAUAGUGAGUUAAGUUAACAAAAAACACCUGAAUCUUAUUUGUGUGGCAUUAGAUACCUCUCUUUUACAGUUUUUUUUUUUUUACUCUUUUACAAUUUAUUUAUUUAUUUUUUCAUUACAACCAAAGAUUUUUAUCAGUGAUUGUAUAUCAGGAGCAGGGAUACGUUUAUAUGCGUUUUGUUUUGUGAUUUCACCGGAACGACAGAUUGAAGCGCUAGUCCGUGUAAAGACUGCGCAGUGUGCACGAGCGCCAACACUGUUGCGCUACUGAUAACAGCGCCAGCGGCAACGAGCACUCAACAUGAUUUCAGAAAAAACACAUCCCAGCGAUAGAUCGCCUAUUUUGUAACACAAACGAACGAAUUGUUAAUCAACUAGAGACGUUUCUUUCGCAUUAGAUGUAUCCGUGCCGCAAAAUGUUUCAAAAAGUGGUGGGGACAUGUCCCACCCGUCCCACCCGCAAAUUACGCCUAUGAACGGGAUUGAUGACAACCACUCAAAAUAGAAAAUUGUAACACUGGAUGAUAAAAAAAAAAAAAAAAAAGCUUACACUAUUUAAUUAUUUAAUGGACACUUCUCACAUUUCUGAGGAUCUCAGACACUAUAGAAUUUUAGUUGGGUAAACGCAUAAAAGUGAACAGGAGUAGGCUAUAGCUGUAUAAUGUAGAUAAUAUAGUGGUGAACUGCAAUAUGACUUUGCGUUCACUUUGCUCCAAUAGCUAGCCUACAUCUCCAAUUUUGUAAAAAAAAAAAAAAAAAAAGGAGAAAUAAUGGCAUUAACACAAAACAGAGUAAAAUAUAAAAAUAUAUAAACAUUAUGAUAGAUUUAUAAUGCCAGUAACCAUGGAAAUGCAUCAUUAUAGUUUGUAAAAUAUGUGUUUUAUCUCUUUAACAUCACAAGAAUGCAAUCACUAGUAAACAGACUUCCUGUUAAUAAAGUAUAAGGUAAGGAUCUAUUUAUAUAUAUAUAUAUAUAUACACACACACACACACACACACAGGGCUUGACAUGAACACCCGCCACGCCAACCCGCCGGGUAUUCAGCUGUGGCGGGUAAGACAGCCAAUCCCACUAGCCACUUUGGCUUGUUGAAUAUAAUUUCAGCCUACAGCCAAAUGAAAGGUAGCCAAGCUCGUCGUAUCACAAAACUGCAAUUCAAUUACAAUUCUUUAUCAAUUAACUUGCUGUUAGUGAAGGCGGGAUAGGCGGAAUCGCCGAAUGACACAACACAACAGAAGCGCGCUCUCUCUCUCUCUCUGUCGCGCGCGCGAUCAGUUCUCCUUGCACCUGAAUAGUCAAAUACACGCACACACAGAUGUCAAAAUGCCCAUCGUGUGGAGUAGGCUAUCGCGUGAAUACAGUCGGUUAUGGCUUAAGUGGACGUAAACAGGUGCACAGUAAAAAACGUUGGGAUAUUUUAUUAACCCAACCGUUGGGUUACACAUAUUGGGUCACCAUGUUGGGUUAUUUACCAAAAAUGUUGGGUUAUUUUUAACAUCGUUGGGUUAUUUUUAUUAAUAACCCAUCUGUUGGGUUAAAUACGGAUCCUGUGACGACGGUUCAAAUUUUAACGGUCCAGUGACAGUCAACAGAAAGAAGCUGCUGCAACCUGAUAUUAUGAAGGUAAGUCAUGUCGUUUUCGUGUAUAUAACUUUUAUAACAUUAGGUAUUGUGUACUGAAACAUAACAUAUAUUCUAAAACUGAAUUUUAUAUUUUUAAGUCGUAAUUUUCUAGUCAGUUUUAAUGUUCUCCGGUAAGUGAGAUCGACUGGAAAUGAUUAACGUUAGCUAUCCCAGUCAGCUCGCUAGCAGUGAUAAAGUAAACAUACAAGCGAAACUGCUUAGAGAUGUAUUACCAUACAAUGGUAACUAAUAAUAUUGUCUUGUGAAAUAUAUAUCGCUAAACUAAGGAAGGCUAGGUCUCAGCAAUCACUAUCCAACAUUACGCAUGUUUUACGGUCUUUGUGAUAAUCUUUCAUAAUAUGACAGCUAAAUUUGAGCUUCAAGCUUGUACUUUUUUUUUGUACAGGUGUGAUUAGAAAUGCGGAACGAAAGAGCACUUCUUAUUUGAGCCGUGGCGCACGGACCGUUUAUCAGCUCGGCCUACAAAGCACGAGCUCGGUCCUCGAUUCUCGGUCAUGCGGCACCACAACAGAGCUGUUUUAAUUAUUAUUCAAUCGUUCCCAAAAGCUUUUACGCAAAAAAAAAAAAAAAAAAAAACUGGAGAAACGUUGUGCAACCAAUGAACGAUUAGUUUAUGAGUAGUUAACGACAGUUACAGUGUGUUUUUAUCGAUAAAUAACCUAGAUUUACUGUUUAUUAGGUUUACUGUAGUAACACUAACUGCAAAUCUUGUAUUUGCAGAAAUGUGGUAUAUUCGUAAUGCAUGUUAUAUAUAGUAAUGCAUGUAAAUAUAUUAUAGGAGUAUCUGAAGCAUCUUUAUACUGUUGUUUCUUAUGAAGCUAUGUCAGUUUUUGCAUUUUUGUUGUACUAAAUGUGUUUAUACUUGUGAUUUAGACAAAUGGAAUAAUCUGUGAAGCAAAGACUACAACAACCUGCUAUUUAAUGGAAACAUUUGAAGAGCAAGGAGUGGAUGAAAGUUUUAUGCUGCUGGAUGACAGUGGUUCUCAACUGUGGUCCUAGAGUAUCCCCAGCAAUACACAUUUUGGAUGACUUCCUUAUCUGACACCCUUUUCCGGCCUUGGAGUCUCUCUGCUAACAAGCUGGUAAGUUGAAACAGGAUUAGAGAGACAAAAUGUGCAGUGCUAGGGCUACUACAGAGCCAGGAUGUUUGGGAAACACUAGGGUACAGUUUAUUACUCUUGUUUUUUUUUUUUCUUUCUCAGUUGUCUUUAUUCGUUUUAAUACAUUAUGUUUUAAUUUAAACAGAAUCCAAGUUGUUUGAUGACUGACAACGAUUUAGUAUCAAAAAAAUGCAAGAAGUCCUCACAGCCAAGCUAAUGUGUAAAUUAGACAUACAACACCUCAACAAACUGCAUGGAUUUGAUCCUUUGGAACAAAAACUGGAAUGGUGAGUUUAAUGAUGUUCAGAAUAGUGAAGGGUUGUUUUAUUUUGGGAAAAAAUGUAUUGGCCAUGUCUAAGUGCAUGUAAAAUUUGUCCACACACACGUGGUAUUAAUUAAAGUUUUUAAACUUGUCUUUCAAAGAUGGUCAUGGAGAAACUGCCUUCAAAACCCUUCCCCCUGUCCUGCCAUCAUCGCCAUGCCUCACAAAUGGGAAAAUGGUGCUGAAAUGAAGCACAGCUUAACUGACAUUCAGCCUGUUGGCACUAAUAUGGCGCAUUACCUGAGCAGUGAGACAAGCCGGGAUCCACAUGACUUGAUGCCUUGAGGACAAAGAGAACUCCCAAGUUUUUUUUUUUAGGUUUUUUUUUUUUUAAUAACAUUAUUUUUUCAUUGUGGCAUUGAACAGAAGAUCUUAUUUUAAGCUAUGCAUGUAUAUUUCAAUUUUUUUUUUUUUUUUUUUUUUUUUUUUAA